rnacentral:rRNA from 1 species
UACGUAGGGUGCGAGCGUUGCCCGGAUUUAUUGGGCGUAAAGGGCGCGUAGGCGGUGAGAUGCGUCUGUUGUGAAAUCGCUCGGCUCAACUGGGGCGGGGGUCAGCGGAUACGGUCUCACUUGACAAGCUAGGGGGGCAAUGGAAAUUCCCCGGUGUAGUGGUGGGAAUGCGUAGAUAUCGGGGAGGAACACCAGUGGCG